UCUACUUUUGAUUUCCAACGUGUAAAUGUUUAAAAGAGAUACCUACUAAUCCUAAAAGAGUUGAAAUCUAUCCCGUGAAUUAAUCUGUCCUGUGGUAUAAAACUCGAGUAAACCUAUCCAGUAUAUUUAUACACAGUCAUACAGAGAUGUAUUACCUCUGGUGCCUGUUGAUUGUUGGGUGUAUACACCUUGCUAACUCGACAAACAACACCGAUAUUAAUAAACGAGCAGCUAAAACAAUAUGGCAUAAUAACGAUUUUCCCGACCACGAUCCUCUACAUAACUUCAAACCAGUGGAGCACGGUUUCUUUAACUAUGGUUCUCUAACGGCUGCCAAGGAUCCCGCAGGUGGGAGCCAUAACGUCAUCAAGGUCUACUACAAACAUGGAACCUAUUCGGGAACCAAAGGUUACAAAGGCGCCCAAUUCUACAGUCACCCAACCUCCCAUACCGCCAUGGGACUAUCAUAUCAAGUCUAUUUCAGUCAUGGGUUUGAUUUCGUCAAAGGAGGUAAACUGCCUGGUCUAGCAGGAGGUGAUGAAGCUGAUUGUUCAGGUGGCAAUAAUCAUGAUACGUGUUUCUCAGCCCGACUCAUGUGGCGUGCUAACGGCGACGGGGAAGUUUACUCUUACUUUCCGGAUCAAGCUCACGGAUUCUGCGAUAGGAAGGAUGUCGAAUGCUCGAAUGAUAAAGGAAUAUCGCUAGGACGCGGAACGUUCCGAUUUAAGACGGGCCAAUGGAAUCGGAUAACGGAAUACGUUCACUUGAAUACGGUUGGUAAAAGUGAUGGUUACGUCAAGUUGUAUUUUAAUGGUAAGCUGGUCUAUACAGGCAAAAAUAUCAAAUGGAGAGUCAAGGACAGUCUGAAAAUCAACUCGAUCUUCUUCUCAACAUUUUUUGGUGGAGGCAGCAAAGAAUGGGCAGCUACAAAAGAUUGUUAUUCCUAUUUUAAAGAUUUCAUUUUAUCCAUGGGAGACGCACCCCCUCUUCUUGGUUGAAAUAAACAAAAUUAAUAUCAUUUUAAAA